UUCUAAUCGUGGAGAGACCAGUCUAUCAGAUCACCACCGUCUCCCAAAAAUCAGAAAGCGUCGACCCCGUUUUAGAGGAACUCAAAGCCCUUAAAAUUACAACGCUGAUACGUACAUCACCACCAACGGAGGGCAGCUUGAAUGACAUUUUGGGGAGAAAACCAUCUUCUUCUUCAACUUCAGGAUUUUGAUAGGUACCUGGUUCCUCUCCUCUGCAAUUCUACUAUUCUGGUACUACAGUUGAAAUAAUUGCACCGCAGCUUUCUGUCUGUACACAAUUUCCAGUAUUCCAACACAAUACAGUAGCUAUAAAAUGGACAAACAAAUUUGUGUAAUCAAACCUAUCUGUAUAAGUAACAACCGAAAUUCCUUACAAUCAUAUCAGUUAAUUUCAAGCAAAAUUUACAAUGAAACAGUAAUCUGAAAAACAUUCAAUCGCAUGGCAUUUGAGAGGCCAGCUCUCUCCAUCACUUGUCUCCACUUUUUUUCCUGAUAUUUUUCUUGCGUGCUUUCCCUUUCACCAACCAGCAUAAUAUCUUCAUUCCCUAACUGCCAGACCUCUCUUGUGCUGCCACGUUUCAGCUCCACUUGCUUGUGGUCUAUCUCUUGUAAUGUUGUGUGUUUGCUAAUUGUGUCUCCCAGCUUGCUGCCAACUCUGUUCCUUCCUCCUCUCCCUUGUAUCUGUUUCUCCUUACAAGAGAUAUAUACUUGCUGCCUAAUAGAUUUAUUUGUAGUUUAUAAAUAAAAGUUUCCAUUAUUAUUGGGGGUAUUUGCUUGAUUAAUGAUUAAAUAUUCAUUUUGGUUUUUUUCAAUCCUUAAUGCUUUUGGUCGUUCUACCCUUCUAGUUCUUAUAGAUAUCAGAUAUCCUCCAUGCUUGGUCAGUUGUUCUCCCUAUUUUUCCCUCUGUUUCUUUAUAUUAAUCUCUAUACUUCUAUAUCUUCUCAAUUUGUACACUAUCUAAAUUUUUCUUCAUUUGUUACUCCAUCAAUUUGUGUUUCAGUUGUGGUAAAAUAAGUAUCUUUCUUGUACCGAAGUUAUUUUUUGUAAGCUGCUCGUUAAGUGUUAACUAUCUGGUUCAUGGAGCUAAUCUUUGCCAUUCUUUCUUUCCUCCAUGGUCAAUAAAGGUACUGUGAACCCUAGUGUUGGAGCUUUUCUCAAUGUAUUGUGAUUGGCAGGAGGAGAAAGGCGCAACAAAUUAGCAAGAGGCAGGUUUGUGUUGCCAAUGAUAUAUCUUAAGAAUUUGGGAACAAUUAAUUAACAUGGUAAUGACUUGUAUAUUGUGAAGGCAUAGGAUGGAUCAGAUGUUGUAGAUGCCUGUGAAUCUAAAUUUUGGUCUGUGUUUCUAAAUCUAGGAUUUUGAUUACAAUAAAACUAUGUGCACACAAUUUUGAUUAUACAAUUAAAUUAACAAAUGAUGUGUCAUCAUGUGAUUGAGUAUUUUUUUCUCUUUAAUUUAACACCACCCAAUUAUAUGAUGACACAUAAUUUAUAUACUCAAUUCUAUAUUCAAAACUUUGUGCACAUAGUAUUACUCUUUGGAUAAUGAUUCCCUGGCUUGAAGAUAUUAAAUGUGUUGUUGCCUCUAAUUGUCAUCAUAUAUAUAUUUAUAUAUUUGAUCCUCAAGGAUAAAAGUCAAAUAUGCAUUAGAUUCUCGUUGAGUUGGAUCCAAGAUCGGACCUGCGGUUUGACAUGACGUUUUCUAGGUGGAUUCAAAUGCUUAACUGGUGUUUUCUUUUACUGUGAAAUGUUUAGAUAUUUUUAUCAUUAUUUUACAUCUGAUGAUGCACUGGUUCUGAACUGGUUACCGUGUGGACUUUUGUGUAUUUCUCUGUCUCUGUCUCUCACUCUCUUGUUUAAAUAUUUACUUAUAAACUGGAAAGUUUUAGUAUUUGCCCUUGAUUAAAGUAUCUGUUCUGCUUUGAAGUCAAGGCUGUAAAUGAUUAACAUUCCACUACUUGAACUAGAAAAUUAUUUAUUUAUAUUUACGUUUUAAAAAAUUGGAUCUUUCUGUUUGGACUGUGUAAAAAAGAUCAUUGCAGGAAGAGAUAGAAAACAAGAUAGAAAUUGCAGAUGCUUUGGCAAUCAAGCUUCUUCAACCAUUUAGUUAUUCAGUGUCAGCAACGAAGACAAUGUCACUGCAUUUAUUUGGAGCUGGUUUACAUUUAAAAGAAGUAACGGGAAUUUUAAUCAGAAUCCCUUUGCCCAAGAUUGUGGAGCGAAAUUGUGGGGUAGCAUUUGUGCUAGAAGUUACACUAUUAAACUGUAGAAGUAUCAGCUAGGACAAAAGUUCGCAAAUUCUUUACUGGUCUGUAUUAAGCUUUAGUAAGCUGGAAAAUCAAUGCAGUUCAUUCAUUGCAAGUGGAAAUUGGGGAGCAUAAAGGAAGAUUGACUGAGGUUAUUAAUGA